rnacentral:tRNA from 2 species
GGGCAGGCGCCGGAGAUGGUGAGCCGGGCCGGUCUGUAAAAUCGGUGGCAUACGCCUGAGUGGGUUCAAAUCCCACCCUGCCCACCU